rnacentral:rRNA from 1 species
UACGGAGGGUGCGAGCGUUGUCCGGAAUCACUGGGCGUAAAGGGCGCGUAGGCGGCCUGAUAAGUAGGGGGUGAAAUCCUGCGGCUUAACCGCAGGGCUGAGCCUUCUAAACUGUCAGGCUGGAGCACAGUAGAGGCAGGUGGAAUUCCCGGUGUAGCGGUGGAAUGCGUAGAGAUCGGGAAGAACAUCAGCGGCGAAGGCGGCCUGCUGGGCUGUUGCUGACGCUGAGGCGCGACAGCGUGGGGAGCAAACAGG